rnacentral:rRNA from 1 species
UACGGAGGGUGCAAGCGUUAUCCGGAUUCACUGGGUUUAAAGGGUGCGUAGGCGGAUAUGUAAGUCCGUGGUGAAAUCUCUGGGCUUAACCCGGAAACUGCCAUGGAUACUAUGUGUCUUGAAUGUUGUUGAGGUGAGCGGAAUAUGUCAUGUAGCGGUGAAAUGCUUAGAUGUGACAUAGAACACCAAUUGCGAAGGCAGCUCACUAAGCAAAUAUUGACGCUGAGGCACGAAAGCGUGGGGAUCAAACAGG